rnacentral:pre_miRNA from 1 species
GUAGUACUCCCUCCGUCCGGAAAUACUUUUCAUCAAAAUGAAUAAAAAGGGAUGUAUCUAAAUGUAUAUUAGUUCUAGAUACAUCUUUUUUAUCCAUUUUGAUGACAAGUAUUUUCGGACGGAGGGAGUACUUG